UACCUCAUUGAACAGAAGGAAACCCUUCCGAUCAGGGAGGUACAUCUAUCUCUUCGACCAGAAGGGUUUCCUUCCGGUCAACAAGGAUGUACCUCAUUGAUUGGAAGGAAACCCUUCCAAUCAGGGAGGUGCAUCUACCUCUUUGACCCAAAACCCUUCUGGUCAACGAGGCA
rnacentral:miRNA from 1 species